CAAGGUUACCGCAGUGACUCAAGCGUCAAACUGUACAUGGGCAUGUAGAGACUUGGGCCUGGGGUAGGAGGGCAAAUUUUCAGACUGAGGUGCUACUGCGCUGGGAUGGGGAGAGAGGGGAGAGUGACAAAAAGGAAUGGGGAGAUGGGCUCCCGGAACGGUCCAGGCUCUAGGCUUCCCCGUCUCGGAGACGAUGCCCGUUCCCCAAAGUACUAGAGACCACCCCUCGGGGCUCGCGCAGGAGAAGCCCAUUAAGUUAAAUGCAUGAAGACAAGCAGCAACCUCACCGGGGGCAUCGCCGUACUCGGUCUGCGUGCCACCCCUAGGGUGGAGGAGAGCGGAGAAGGUGGGAAGGGGUACGGACAGAGGGGGAGGAGCGCAGUUCACAUGACUCUCCGCAGUCCAGCGGUUGCUGAGCACAGGGCAGACCCGGGCACCGCUCCGACUCUGCGGCAUCGCGGAAAAUAAUUUUAUAGAGAUCUCUGUUGUGGUAUGCUGUGAGCGCCUGCGUCUGCGGCCGUGGUCUGAUGCUGGCAGAGUGUGAAGAGAGAAAGAAUCACGGGCCAGAGUUAUCAAAAUCCAGUGGCAAGAUAAAAGUCAAGA